UGCCUGCUGUGGGAAUUGACUUAGCUGGGUAGUGGGGAACCCUUCCAUGAGGAGUAGAACACUCCUUGUGCAAGAUUCCCUUCUACCUGACUGGGUUGGAGUCAUAUCCUACUCUG
rnacentral:pre_miRNA from 14 species